rnacentral:rRNA from 1 species
UACAGAGACGGCAAGCGUUGUUCGGAUUCAUUGGGCGUAAAGGGUGCGCAGGCGGUCCGUUAAGUCGGGUGUGAAAUCUCACAGCCUAACUGUGAUAGGUCAUUCGAAACUAGCGGGCUCGAGGACUGGAGAGGAGACUGGAAUAGUCGGUGUAGCGGUGAAAUGCGCAGAUAUCAGGAGGAACACCGAUGGCGAAGGCAGGUCUCUGGGCCACUACUGACGCUGAGAAGCGAAAGCGUGGGAGCGAACGGG